rnacentral:rRNA from 1 species
CCUACGGGCGACAGCAGUGAGGAAUAUUGGUCAAUGGUCGGGAGACUGAACCAGCCAAGCCGCGUGAGGGAGGAAGGUACAGAGUAUCGUAAACCUCUUUUGUCAGGGAACAAAGGCGGGGACGUGUCCCCGGAUGAGUGUACCUGAAGAAAAAGCAUCGGCUAACUCCGUGCCAGCAGCCGCGGUAAUACGGAGGAUGCGGGCGUUAUCCGGAUUUAUUGGGUUUAAAGGGUGGGCAGGCGGUCUGUUAAGUCAGCGGUAAAAGCCCGGGGCUCAACCCCGGCCCGCCGUUGAAACUGGCAGUCUCGAGUUGGAGAGAAGUAUGCGGAAUGCGCGGUGUAGCGGUGAAAUGCAUAGAUAUCGCGCAGAACUCCGAUUGCGAAGGCAGCAUGCCGGCUCCACACUGACGCUGAGGCACGAAAGCGUGGGUAUCGAACAGGAUUAGAUACCCUGGUAGUC